UCCUUUUGCAAACAGGUGGUUAUUACACGGCGGGACUCUCGCAGGGCGGCUUGCCUGUGUGGUGGAAGUUUCCCCGGCUACCGAGGAGGGAAAACAACUGCAAAUAAAAUAAAUCAUCAACAUCAUUUCUGCUCUGCCUGGGAUUUCCUGCCGGAUUCUCAUUCAAGUCACCUGCCUCGGAAUCAGAUCUUCCACCUUUUCUAGGCCAGGCAACAAAAGCGAAAUGGAAGGAGCCGAGGUGGGCACAGGAGAGAGAUGCCGGCUCUGGGAUCGUGAGAAAGUGAUUCCCCAGACCCCUUGCCCUCUCUCUGCAGUCCCCCGUGUAGACAAGCCCCGAGAAAGGAAAGUGAUUCCUGAGAUCAGACCUGCAGCAGUUUCCGAGGACUGGAGGCGCUUCUCCCCCCCGCCACCCUGUUAAUCUGUAACACAUCAACCUCCAUCAUCAAAGGGCAAAAUGUGGAAAAUCAAGACUCAGAUACUAAAGGGCAACCAGGGGUGAGGAGCCUGAUGGGACAUUAAAAGUUGAUCAGACUUCAAA